AGACCCGAAACCCGGUGAUCUAGCCAUGGGCAGGUUGAAGGUUGGGUAACACUAACUGGAGGACCGAACCGACUAAUGUUGAAAAAUUAGCGGAUGACCUGUGGCUGGGGGUGAAAGGCCAAUCAAACCGGGAGAUAGCUGGUUCUCCCCGAAAGCUAUUUAGGUAGCGCCUCGUGAAUUCAUCUCCGGGGGUAGAGCACUGUUUCGGCUAGGGGGCCAUCCCGGCUUACCAACCCGAUGCAAACUGCGAAUACCGGAGAAUGUUAUCACGGGAGACACACGGCGGGUGCUAACGUCCGUCGUGAAGAGGGAAACAACCCAGACCGCCAGCUAAGGUCCCAAAGUCAUGGUUAAGUGGGAAACGAUGUGGGAAGGCCCAGACAGCCAGGAUGUUGGCUUAGAAGCAGCCAUCAUUUAAAGAAAGCGUAAUAGCUCACUGGUCGAGUCGGCCUGCGCGGAAGAUGUAACGGGGCUAAACCAUGCACCGAAGCUGCGGCAGCGACACUCAGGUGUCGUUG
rnacentral:rRNA from 1 species